UGCAGUGACAGUGACGGUGAUAGCAUUGGGGACGUAACAGAGAAGAACAUAAAAAGGCGAAGCGCGCGAAAUCCAGCAUCGGCAGUGGGCAAAUGGGAAAGCAAAAGCAACAAGUGAUUUCCCGCUUCUUCGCUCCGAAACCCAAAACUCCUCCAUCAGCCACUUCCCAAACACCUCCUCCUACUCCCACUCCCAAAAUCUCAGCCACCGUCGCUUUCUCCCCUUCCAAACGCCGCCUCACUUCCCAUCUCACACCCCCUCGCAAACACCAGAAGCUUCUCGAACCUUCCACGUCCUCUCAGCCACAACCUUCUUCUUCUUCUUCCAAGCCCCCAAACUACACUCCCUUGGAACAACAGGUCCUAAACCUCAAGGCCAAACACCCCGAUGUCCUCCUCAUGGUCGAAGUCGGUUACAAGUACCGUUUCUUCGGCCAAGACGCGGAACACGCCGCCAGAGUUCUCGGCAUUUACGCCCACGUGGACCACAACUUCUUAACCGCGAGCAUACCAACUUUUCGACUCAAUGUCCACGUCAGAAGGCUCGUCAGCGCGGGCUACAAGGUCGGCGUCGUCAAGCAGACCGAGACCGCCGCCAUCAAGGCCCAAAGUUCCAACCGUUUGGGCCCAUUCUGCCGUGGGCUUUCGGCCCUCUACACCAAGGCCACGCUAGAGGCGGCGCCGGAUUUGGGGGGACCCGAGGACGGGUGCGGGGGAGAAAGCAACUACUUGAUGUGUGUGGUGGAGAAGAGUGUUUUGGGUGAGAAGGGAAAUUGUGGGGUUAAUGUCAGGCUUGGGUUUGUUGCUGUGGAGAUUUCCACCGGGGAUGUUGUUUAUGCGGAGUUUGGUGAUGAUUUUCUGAGGGGUGCGCUUGAGGCUGCUCUUCUGAGCUUGUCUCCGGCUGAGUUGCUUCUUGGGGACCCUCUUUCGAAGCAAACAGACAAGUUAUUGUUGAAUUUUGCUGGACCUGCCUCAAAUGUUCGAGUAGAGCGUGUUUCACGAGAUUGCUUCACUGGGGGGGGUGCUCUUGCUGAAGUUAUGACCCUGUACGAGAACAUGCAUGUAGAAGGUUCAUCAGAUUCAAUACAAAGCAAUGAUUUGGCUGAGAACAGAAGUCAGCAGUUAGUAAUCAAGGAGGUGAUGAACAUGCCAGAUUUGGCUGUCCAAGCUUUGGCCUUAACUAUUCGCCAUUUGAAGGAAUUUGGUUUUGAAAGAAUUCUGUGUUCAGGAGCUUCUUUAAGGCCCUUCUCAAGCAAAACGGAAAUGACUCUCUCAGCCAAUGCACUUCAACAACUGGAGGUUUUGAAAAAUAAUAGUGAUGGAUCUGAGACCGGUUCCUUGCUGCAAAUUAUGAAUCGAACUCUUACUAUAUUUGGUUCCAGGCUUCUUAGGCAUUGGGUAUCUCAUCCUCUGUGUGAUCAAACCUUAAUUUCUGCUCGUCUUCAUGCUGUAACUGAAAUUGCAGAGUCCAUGGGAUCUUGUAAUAGUGUGAAGAAUCUUGGACAUGUUGAGGAAGAUCCUGAUGUAGCAAUUGUGCAACCUGAGUUAGCAUACAUACUUUCACUGGUUUUGACAACUCUUGGCCGAGCACCUGAUAUACAACGUGGAAUUACAAGAAUUUUCCAUUGCACUGCUACCCCAUCUGAGUUCGUUGCAGUAAUUCAAGCUAUUUUGUCUGCUGGAAAACAGCUUCAACAACUUAACAUAGGAGAUGGGAAUAAUAAUACAUUGCACUCUAAUCUGUUAAAAAAGUUAAUUUUGACUGCUUCCUCUGGCAUUGUUAUUGACAAUGCUGCAAAAUUGUUGUCAUCUUUAAAUAAAGACGUUGCUGAUCAAGGAGAUCUAACAAAAUUAAUCAUUGCAUCAGAGGGACAAUUCCCAGAGAUCAUUAGAGCUCGGAAGGCUUUCAAGCUGGCGGUGGAACACUUAGAUUCAUUGAUUGACUUGUAUCGCAAACGGUUUGGAAUGCAAAAUUUGGAAUUCAUGAGUAUUUCUGGAACAACUCAUUUGAUUGAGUUAUCAACUAAUGUAAAGGUUCCUUCAAACUGGGUCAAGGUAAAUAGCACAAAGAAAACAAUUCGAUAUCACCCUCCUGAAGUAGUGUCAGCAUUGGACAAGUUAUCAUUAGCAAAAGAAGAACUCACUGUUGCCUGCCAAGCAGCUUGGAAUAGCUUUCUUAGGGACUUCAGUAAACACUAUGCUGAUUUCCAAGCUUCUGUUCAAGCACUAGCUGCUUUAGAUUGUCUACAUUCACUUGCCAUUCUUUCAAGAAAUAAGGGUUAUGUUCGGCCAGUGUUUGUAGAUGAUCAUGAGCCUGUUCAGAUACAAAUUUGUUCUGGUAGACAUCCGGUUUUGGAGACUACCUUACAAGAUAAUUUUGUUCCAAAUGAUACAAACAUGCAUGCAGAUGGAGAGUACUGUCAGAUUGUUACUGGACCCAAUAUGGGGGGAAAAAGUUGCUAUGUUCGCCAGGUGGCUCUGAUUGCUAUAAUGGCUCAGGUUGGUUCCUUUGUACCAGCAUCAUCAGCAAAACUGCAUGUCCUGGAUGGAAUCUACACUCGGAUGGGUGCUUCUGACAGUAUUCAGCAAGGGAGAAGCACCUUCCUAGAAGAACUAAGUGAGACUUCACAUAUACUACAUAGUUGCACAGAACAUUCACUGGUUAUCAUUGAUGAGCUUGGGAGAGGUACAAGUACACAUGAUGGUAUGGCCAUUGCUCAUGCAACAUUGCAUUAUCUUCUGAAGCAAAAAAGAAGCAUGGUCCUCUUCGUCACUCACUAUCCAAAGAUUGCCAACCUGGCUGCUGAAUUUCCUGGCUCUGUGGCAGCAUAUCACGUAUCACAUCUGACCUCACGUGAUGCAAGUAAAAAUUCCAACUUGGAUCAUGAUGUCACUUACCUCUACAAGCUCGUGCCUGGUGUUUCAGAGAGGAGUUUUGGCUUUAAGGUUGCUCAACUAGCACAGUUACCAUCACAUUGCAUCAGUCGAGCCAUGGUCAUGGCUUCCAAAUUAGAAGCACUAGUAAACAAUAGAAUACAUAGUAGAUCAAGAAAGGAACUACUAUUGGAUAUGCUGGUGAUUGGUCAAGAGCAAGAACAGCUUAUGGCUCAACCAUAUGAUCGUCCACAUCAAGAGUUUGGUAUGGCUUACAAAGAUUUCUAUUUAAACUUAAAAGCUGCUCUACAAGAUGAUGACUGUGCAAAAAACUUUCACCUUUUGGAGCAUGCUAGAAGCAUUGCAAGGAAAUUAAUUGGCAGAUAAAUGCAUUAUGGGUAAGACAGGAUGACUUGCAGAAGCAGGGUUCAGGUCUCCUCCAGUGUUGUAGAAUGUAGAUAAUAUCUAGCAUAAAAUAAAAUUGAUUCCGUAAUUUUUGCUUCUUUACCUUUCUCCUGCCAAGCUUAUAAUUUUGUAAUUUUGGUCAUGCUUGGGAAUUGAUUUUGUUUACUGCCAUGUAUAAGGAUGUCCGUCCUUUUUGAGCCUACGGAAGUAAAAGCAAAGUGCGGCAUAUGGUUGUCCUGAGGGUAUCUUUUGUAGAAUAUGGCUUCGAAUUUAACGGGUCAGUAUUGGGCUAAUAGAAGUGUUAGUAGGUAAAAUGUCUUUCUCCAAACAUUAAUGGGUGGAAAGUAUUAACAGUACUUCAUGCAAAGGAAGUUUUGUGCAAAUAAAUAUC